rnacentral:lncRNA from 10 species
AACUAAGAAUAAGUUAAGUACCAAGAAAAAGAAAGGGGGUAAGAAAGACGUCAUGGGCUUUCAUAGUAGUUAGGAUUCUGGGGUUGGGUUGGGAAAGCAUUCUAGGCAGAGAGAAAGCAUCCUAGGCAAGAGGACUAGUCCAGCAUAGUCAUCUUGGGCUGGAACUCUUAACACACAUGAGCUGGGACAGAAGGUAGAGAACAUAGAAAAUGCCUGGUGAGGAUUAUGUGCAUAGCUGAUCAGACAGUGGGGAACGACUGAUGAUAUUCGCAAAGGAGGUUAAGUCCUGGCAGAGUUUUUUUGUUUUGUUUUGUUUUUGCUUUUUGUUGUUGUUGUUGUUUUAAUGAGGAACUUCAGGCAUUUUGUCCAGAGAGGAAGAAGUCGUUUGCAAAAAUAGAAUGAAAAGUAAG